rnacentral:rRNA from 1 species
UGGGGAAUAUUGCACAAUGGGCGCAAGCCUGAUGCAGCAACGCCGCGUGAACGAUGAAGGUCUUCGGAUCGUAAAGUUCUGUUGCAGGGGAAGAUAAUGACGGUACCCUGUGAGGAAGCCCCGGCUAACUACGUGCCAGCAGCCGCGGUAAUACGUAGGGGGCUAGCGUUAUCCGGAUUUACUUGGCGUAAAGGGUGCGUAGGUGGUCUUUCAAGUCGGUGGUUAAAGGCUACGGCUCAACCGUAGUUAGCCUCCGAAACUGGAAGACUUGAGUGCAGGAGAGGAAAGUGGAAUUCCCAGUGUAGCGGUGAAAUGCGUAGAUAUUGGGAGGAACACCAGUAGCGAAGGCGGCUUUCUGGACUGCAACUGACACUGAGGCACGAAAGCGUGGGUAGCAAACAGG